GAUGAACGCUGGCGGCGUGCCUAAUACAUGCAAGUCGAACGGGUGUAGCAAUACACUAGUGGCGAACGGGUGAGUAACACGUUGGUGACCUGCCCUAAAGAGGGGAAUACCACUUCGAAAGGAGUGACAAAACCGCAUAAGCUAGUGCUAGUUAGAGAGGCAUUAGUAAAAGAGCAAUCUACUUUAGGAGGGGCCUGCGGCCCAUCAGCUAGUUGGUGAGGUAAAAGCCCACCAAGGCGAAGACGGGUAGGGGACCUGAGAGGGUGAUCCCCCACAA
rnacentral:rRNA from 1 species